UCCGGUUUGUCACCGGCAGUCCCAUUAGAGUGCCCAACUAAAUGUAGCAACUAAUGGCAAGGGUUGCGCUCGUUGCGGGACUUAACCCAACAUCUCACGACACGAGCUGACGACAGCCAUGCAGCACCUGUGUUCCCGUUCCCUUUCGGGCACAGCCCCCUCUCAGGGGCCUCCAGGACAUGUCAAGGGUAGGUAAGGUUUUUCGCGUUGCAUCGAAUUAAUCCACAUAAUCCACCGCUUGUGCGGGUCCCCGUCAAUUCCUUUGAGUUUUAACCUUGCGGCCGUACUUCCCAGGCGGAGUGCUUAACGCGUUAGCUACGCCACUGAGAAAGUAAAAGGAUUCCCAGCAGCUAGCACUCAUCGUUUACGGCGUGGACUAC
rnacentral:misc_RNA from 1 species